UAACCUGGUUGAUCCUGCCAGUAGUCAUAUGCUUGUCUUAAAGAUUAAGCCAUGCAUGUCUAAGUAUAAGCUUUUAUACGGCUAAACUGCGAAUGGCUCAUUAAAACAGUUAUAGUUUAUUUGAUGGUCUUUACUACAUGGAUAACCGUGGUAAUUCUAUGGCUAAUACAUGCGCACAUGCCUCUUCCCCUGGAAGGCAGUGUUUAUUAGAUACAGAACCAACCCACCUUCCGGUGGUCCUCAGGUGAUUCAUAGUAACCGAACGGAUCGCGUUGACUUCGAGUCUGCGACGGAUCAUUCAAGUUUCUGACCUAUCAGCUUUCGACGGUACUGUAUUGGACUACCGUGGCAGUGACGGGUAACGGGGAAUUAGGUUCGAUUCCGGAGAGGGAGCCUGAGAAACGGCUACCACAUCUAAGGAAGGCAGCAGGCGCGCAAAUUACCCAAUCCUGAUUCAGGGAGGUAGUGACAAGAAAUAACAACACUGGAAAUUUCAUUUCUAGUGAUUGGAAUGAUAGGAAUCCAAACCCCUUUCAGAGUAACAAUUGGAGGGCAAGUCUGGUGCCAGCAGCCGCGGUAAUUCCAGCUCCAAUAGCGUAUAUUAAAGUUGUUGCAGUUAAAAAGCUCGUAGUUGGAUUUCUGCUGGAAGCAGCCAGUCCGCCCUCAGGGUGGUGUGCACUUGGUGAAUUC
rnacentral:rRNA from 1 species